GACAGAGGGUGCAAACGUUGUUCGGAAUUACUGGGCGUAAAGCGCGUGUAGGCUGCUCUGCAAGUCGGGUGUGAAAGCCCCGGGCUCAACCUGGGAAUUGCAUUCGAGACUGCAUGGCUAGGGUGCGGAAGAGGGAAGCGGAAUUUCCGGUGUAGCGGUGAAAUGCGUAGAUAUCGGAAGGAACACCAGUGGCGAAAGCGGCUUCCUGGUCCAGCACCGACGUUCAGGCACGAAAGCGUGGGGAGCAAACAGG
rnacentral:rRNA from 1 species